AAUAUUGAAUCCACCACUCUCAAUGUGGGCUCUCACAAAUCCUGGCUGCGGACCACAGCCUGCAUGCUCCCUUGAUUGAAAUAAUACAACAUAACUCCCAUCAUCAUUACGGCGCCAAUACCGUACAUAACAAAGAUCACGGGGCCACACAAACGCUGGAAACCAAUCAUGCUGCAAUCUAUGAUAUAGUAUCGCAGUGUGCCCAUCUACCUCCUCAACUAAGCUACCGUACUGAA
rnacentral:misc_RNA from 1 species